CCAUUCGUUUGACAAAUCUCAAAGAGAAAACAACGCUUAAAAAGGUUCUAAGGUGUUAUUUCGAUACCGGAUUACUCAUCCAUCCCACCUGCAGGGGAUGCGAUUGUUUGGGCAGCUUUGUGCGAAUUUCUACGCCUGUCGCAGCCUAGAUUUUAGGCUACCCAAAUGAAUCUGCCUGAAAGCAUUUCCGCCUUAUCAGUUCGCUCUUAUCGCCGCACGUUUUGUUUGCCCACUUAGCUGCAGCUAGUUGCGAAUUGGGGGGCGGAGCUCCACUCGACAGCGGUAUCGCAGUAAGACGUCACGAAUAACUGUUAAAUUUACAUAUAUUCACAUGAAACCAAUCUGCCAAGUGAACAAGAGAAUUGCGUUGCCAGGUGAAAGAAAAAUAUCGGAGUGAAAAAUCAAAGAGAGCAAGGUAAUGCUACUCACUCACUGGCAGCCAAUUGAGUGGAAACAAAUAACCGAAACACCAAGCUACAAGGAAAUGGGAACCACGAUCCUUAUAAGAAACAAUCGAUUUUAUUACGACUUUUUUAAAUACAUUUAUUCUAGCAAAAUGCACUUGAAUAAUAAAUAUCGUACAUAUG